rnacentral:tRNA from 1 species
GGUGAGGUGUCCGAGAGGCUGAAGGAGGCGGUUUGCUAAACCGUUAUGCGGCGUUAAAACCGCAUCGUGGGUUCGAAUCCCACCCUCACCG